AUGUGGGCGAAACGUCAGGAGAGAAUACUUCUGGAACAUGGCCACACAGCCCGAAAGACAUACAACAACUUUGUGCUUUCAUGGCCGGGAUCACAGGGUUGUUGUAUGUCUUUCGGGCUGUGUGGCCAUGUUCCAGAAGUUGCCAUCAUGUCAUCAUGGAGGAGCUGCAGGAUGUUUACAAAUUUGUCAGGGCACCCGAUUUUUUGGAGGAUAGUCCAGAGAGCGCUGCGAUUCACUGUGUUGAAUGCCUUUGCAAGGUCAAUGAAUGCCAUGUACAGAGGUUGGUUUUGUUCCCUGCAUUUUUCUUGGAGCUGUCGAGCAGUGAAGAUCAUGUCCACUGUUCCUCUGGAAGGACGGAAGCCGUUCUGGGAUUCUGGGAGGGUGUCUUCUGAGACAGGGAGAAGGUGGUUGCAAGGAUUCUUGCGAGGAUUUUCCUAGCGGAAGAUAGAAGGGAGAUACCGCGAUAGUUCCCGCAGUCUGUUCUGUCCCCUUUCUUGAAAAGGGUGAUGAUGGUGGCAUCCUUGAAGUCAGCUGGGAUUUUCUCGGUCACCCACACCUUUUCAAUGAGCUGGUGGAGUUGUUGUAUCAGCUCAGGUACACCCGUUUUGAAGAUUUCAGCAGGGAUCCCAUCAGGUCCGCUGGCUUUGUUGUUUUUUUGUUGGCUGAUGGCAUUGCUAACUUCUUCCAAACUAGGCAGUGCUGCAAGCUCAUCCCUGGUUUGUUGUUGCGGGAUUUGUGAGAGGGUCUCUUCGGACACAUUGGAGCUGCAAUUCAGCUCCAUGGCAUACAGCCUCUACGCUCAUCAGAUGGAACCAAAAUUCUGAAGGACAAAACAUCAAUUGCACUACGUUGGAAAGAGCACUAACAGUUCCAGAAGUAUUCUCUCCUGACGUUUCACCCACAUCUAUGGCAGGCAUCCUCAGAGGUUGUGAGGCAUGGAUAAACUAGGCAAGGAAGGUAAAUAUAUAUCUGUGGAGAGUCCAGGGUGUGACAAGAGUCCUUUGUCACACCCUGGACAAAUCUGCUACCAGUAUUAAAAAAACUCAAAAAUCAGAACAGUAGGUGGGAAGCAACACUCUGAGGGCAGAGGAGCCCCAAGGACGGCUAAUGACUCUGAACAAAGGAUGCCCCCCAGGCAAGAGACAAACCUUUCCAAUGCUAAUUAGGGUGAUUAACUGAAACAUUAGAGCUGGCUUCCAACUGACAAAGGAUCCU
rnacentral:lncRNA from 1 species